GACGAACGCUGGCGGCGUGCUUAACACAUGCAAGUCGAACGGUGAAGCGCCUUCCUUUCUGGUGGGUGUGGAGGAGUGGAGAAGUGGUUAGCACCAGGUUAGUCACCUUCUCCCUUUUUCUGGACAACCGCAUGAAAGUGUGACUACUACGGGAUAUUCUGGAUCUGUCGCAUGAUUGGUCUGAGACGGUUUUUGUGUCGGUUGUGGAUGGGCCCGCGCCCUAUCAGCUUGUUGGUGAGGUAACGGCCUACCAAGGCGGUGAUGCGUAGCCGGCCUGAGAGGGUCGACGGUCACACAGGGGAUGAGACACGGACACGACUCCUACGGGAAGCAGUAGGGGAGCAUACUGCACAGGGGGCGGAAGGCUGGUGCAGCGACGCGGCGUGGGUGAUGGAGGUCUGCGGGUUGUGAACCUCUUUCGCGAGUGAAGCAGUCUGGCAUCGUUUGUGGAUGGGUUGACGGUAGCUGGAGAAGAAGCGCCGGCUAACUACGUG
rnacentral:rRNA from 1 species